GGGUUGUGAGGUUAAGCGACUAAGCGUACACGGUGGAUGCCCUGGCAGUCAGAGGCGAUGAAGGGCGUGCUAAUCUGCGAUAAGCGCCGGUAAGGUGAUAUGAACCGUUAUAACCGGCGAUACCCGAAUGGGGAAACCCAGUGUGAUUCGUCACACUAUCAUUACGUGAAUACAUAGCGUAAUGAAGCGAACCGGGGGAACUGAAACAUCUAAGUACCCCGAGGAAAAGAAAUCAACCGAGAUUCCCCCAGUAGCGGCGAGCGAACGGGGAGGAGCCCAGAGCCUGAAUCAGCAUGUGUGUUAGUGGAAGCGUCUGGAAAGGCGCGCGAUACAGGGUGACAGCCCCGUACACAAAAGCGCAUGUGUUGUGAGCUCGAUGAGUAGGGCGGGACACGUGGUAUCCUGUCUGAAUAUGGGGGGACCAUCCUCCAAGGCUAAAUACUCCUGACUGACCGAUAGUGAACCAGUACCGUGAGGGAAAGGCGAAAAGAACCCCGGCGAGGGGAGUGAAAAAGAACCUGAAACCGUGUACGUACAAGCAGUGGGAGCACCCUUUGGGGUGUGACUGCGUACCUUUUGUAUAAUGGGUCAGCGACUUAUAUUCUGUAGCAAGGUUAACCGAAUAGGGGAGCCGGAGGGAAACCGAGUCUUAAUUGGGCGUUAAGUUGCAGGGUAUAGACCCGAAACCCGGUGAUCUAGCCAUGGGCAGGUUGAAGGUUGGGUAACACUAACUGGAGGACCGAACCGACUAAUGUUGAAAAAUUAGCGGAUGACCUGUGGCUGGGGGUGAAAGGCCAAUCAAACCGGGAGAUAGCUGGUUCUCCCCGAAAGCUAUUUAGGUAGCGCCUCGUGAAUUCAUCUCCGGGGGUAGAGCACUGUUUCGGCUAGGGGGCCAUCCCGGCUUACCAACCCGAUGCAAACUGCGAAUACCGGAGAAUGUUAUCACGGGAGACACACGGCGGGUGCUAACGUCCGUCGUGAAGAGGGAAACAACCCAGACCGCCAGCUAAGGUCCCAAAGUCAUAGUUAAGUGGGAAACGAUGUGGGAAGGCCCAGACAGCCAGGAUGUUGGCUUAGAAGCAGCCAUCAUUUAAAGAAAGCGUAAUAGCUCACUGGUCGAGUCGGCCUGCGCGGAAGAUGUAACGGGGCUAAACUAUGCACCGAAGCUGCGGCAGCGACACUAUGUGUUGUUGGGUAGGGGAGCGUUCUGUAAGCCUGUGAAGGUGUGUCGUGAGGCAUGCUGGAGGUAUCAGAAGUGCGAAUGCUGACAUAAGUAACGAUAAAGCGGGUGAAAAGCCCGCUCGCCGGAAGACCAAGGGUUCCUGUCCAACGUUAAUCGGGGCAGGGUGAGUCGACCCCUAAGGCGAGGCCGAAAGGCGUAGUCGAUGGGAAACGGGUUAAUAU
rnacentral:rRNA from 1 species